GGGGGUGAUUGGUUUCGACGUUGGUCGAAAUGGUGAAAGAAGCGAGCCGUGGUCUCCGGAGCCACGUUAAAGAGCCGGAAACAAAAAUAAACGCGAACUCUACAGCUCACGUUGUUGUUGCCGCUUAGGUAACACGUCCGUCUAUACCCGGCCUUGCGGUGUAGGUCACGGGCGUCAUGAAGCAGGGCUCACCGUCAUCCUUUGUCAAUGAGGACGUCGGGAAAACUUAGUUGACUACGGGAUUGCAGCGGUGCUGGUGUCGAUGCUCCCCCCCGACAAUUCCCAUCAGCUGCGCUCGGAGAAUGUUCACUUAGAAGCCGACGGACCUGGGUUCGAUUCCCAGCACCUCCACCA
rnacentral:tmRNA from 1 species